rnacentral:rRNA from 1 species
AGAGUUUGAUCCUGGCUCAGAACGAACGCUGGCGGCGCGCCUAAUACAUGCAAGUCGAACGAGAAUGUGUAGCAAUACACAUGUACAGUGGCGAACGGGUGAGGACUACAUGGGUAACCUACCCUCGAGUGGGGAAUAACUAGCCGAAAGGUUAGCUAAUACCGCGUACGCCUCCCGGACUGCGGUUCGGGAGGGAAAGCGAUACCGUGGGUAUCGCGCUCUUGGAUGGGCUCAUGCCCUAUCAGCUUGUUGGUGAGGUAACGGCUCACCAAGGCAUCGACGGGUAGCUGAUCUGAGAGGAUGAUCAGCCACACUGGCACUGCGACACGGGCCAGACUCCUACGGGAGGCAGCAGUAAGGAAUAUUGCGCAAUGGGCGAAAGCCUGACGCAGCGACGCCGCGUGGGGGAUGAAGGUCUUCGGAUUGUAAACCCCUUUCGGGAGGGAAGAUGGGAUAGGGUAACCUAUUCGGACGGUACCUCCAGAAGCAGCCACGGCUAACUUCGUGCCAGCAGCCGCGGUAAUACGAAGGUGGCAAGCGUUGUUCGGAUUUACUGGGCGUACAGGGAGCGUAGGCGGUUCGGUAAGCCCUCCGUGAAAUCUCCAGGCUUAACCUGGAAAGUGCAGAGGGGACUGCUGGGCUAGAGGAUGGGAGAGGAGCGCGGAAUUCCCGGUGUAGCGGUGAAAUGCGUAGAGAUCGGGAGGAAGGCC